GAUGAACGCUGGCGGCGUGCCUAAUACAUGCAAGUCGAACGAACAGACGAGGAGCUUGCUCCGCUGACGUUAGCGGCGGACGGGUGAGAAACACGUGGAUAACCUACCUAUAAUACUGGGAUAACUACGGGAAACCGGAGCUAAUACCGGAGAAUAUACUGAACCGCAUGGGUGAAUAGUGAAAGACGGUGUUGCGGGCACGUAUAGAUGGAUCCGGGCCGCAUUAGCUGGUUGGUAAGGUAACGGCCUACGAAGGCAACGAUGGGUAGCCGACGUGAGGGGGUGAUCGGCGACACUGGAAGUUGGCCAGCGACCAGGGGCCUGAGGGACGGCGCAGUAGGGAAUCGUCCGCAGCGGGCGGGAACCUGGCGGAGCAGGGCGGAGUGAGUGGUGACGGUCUUCGGAUCGUAAUACCGUGUUAUUGGGGAAGAACAAAUGUCGAAGUAAACAUGGAGGUAUUGACGGUAACUAAUAAGAAAGCCCCGGCUAACUACGUG
rnacentral:rRNA from 1 species